rnacentral:rRNA from 1 species
GACGAACGCUGGCGGCGUGCUUAACACAUGCAAGUCGAACGGAAAGGCCCUGCUUUUGUGGGGUGCUCGAGUGGCGAACGGGUGAGUAACACGUGAGUAACCUGCCCUUGACUUUGGGAUAACUUCAGGAAACUGGGGCUAAUACCGGAUAGGAGCUCCUGCUGCAUGGUGGGGGUUGGAAAGUUUCGGCGGUUGGGGAUGGACUCGCGGCUUCUCGGCGUGUUGGUGGGGUAGUGGAUUACAAAGGCUUUGACGGGUAGCCGCCCUGAGAGGGUGACCGGGCACAGUGGGACUGGGAUACGGCCCAGAGUCCUACUGGAGGCAGCAGUGGGGAAUUUUGCACAAUAGGCGGAAGCCUGAUGCAGCAAUGCCGCGUGCGGGAUGACGGCCUUCGGGUUGUAACCCGCUUUCGCCUGUGACGAAGCGUGAGUGACGGUAAUUGGUAAAGAAGCACCGGCUAACUACGUG